rnacentral:lncRNA from 1 species
CAUCCUGUGUUCCCUUACAAAAAUUUCAGAAAUGGAUUCUUCACACAGCAAGUCUCUACAGGAUUGUGGAAAGCCUUGCUAACAUAGCCAGUAAUCUGAUCAUCAGCAAAAAGCUAAUAUCCAAGCCUGAAUUCAGGAGGAGAACACCUGCAGCUGACUGAGGAAGUGGCUCAGCUGCAGCAAGGAGGAACCAGAUACACCAAAUACUUUGGAGCAGGGACUGCUCAGCCUGGAGAGAG